AUGUCGCAAGAGGGGGUGGUAAUCGUGGCCGUGCCUCUCCCGGUGCAGGGGCACCUCAACCCAAUGCUCAACUUGUCUCUGCUCCUCUCGUCACGUGGGCUGGACGUCCACUACGCAGCGCCCGCGCCGCACAUCCUCCAGGCGCGUUCGCGCGUGCAGGGCUGGGACGCGGCCACUCUCACCUCGCUCCACUUCUGUGUCCUCGACAUCCGGCGGGCCUACGGGACGGCACCGCCCGACCCCGACCACUGGCACGCGUUCCCAUGCCACCUGCAGUCGGCCCUCGACGUGUUCUGUGACCACGCCGCGGCCCCGCUAAGGCGCCUCCUGGACGAGCUCGCUGCCUCGCGCCGUCGGGUCGUGGUCGUGCACGACAUUACGGUGGGCUUCCCGGCAGCGGAGGCGUCGCGUCUCCCCAACGGCGAGUCGUACGCCCUUUGUUGCCUGGGGCAAUCGUUCUGCACCGUGCUGAGGGACCCAAGGCACCCCCUGGUGAGCGCCCUCGGUCUGCCUCCGCCGCCCCCUGAGUCCAUCUUCACCCAGGAGUUCAUGGAGAUGAUGCAGCGGCAGCGCCGGCUCCGCGUAUCCGGCGCUGGACUGCUUCUCAACUCGUUCAACGCCCUCGAGGGCCAGUUCAUCGAUACCUGCCGCAAGGGCCUGGCUCGUGCUGGCGGCAAGAAGGUCUUCUUAAUCGGACCACUAAACCGGCUGCUAGGCAAAGCCCCAAACCUACGCCACGAUUGCCUAGAGUGGCUCGACGCGCAACCGCCGGCGUCGGUGUUGUACGUGUCCUUUGGCACAAUUUCUUCGCUGUCAAGCAUCCAAAUCCAGGAGCUGGCGACCGCGCUGCACCACAGCGAGCAGCGGUUCAUCUGGGUGCUGCGCGACGCCGACCGCGCGGACGAAAUGGGAGAGGCUGGCGAGAGCCGGCAUGCCCAUCUCCUGCACGCAUUCAGGGAUAAGAUCCAAGGGAGAGGGGUGGUGAUCACAGGGUGGGCACCGCAGUUGGAGAUCCUGGCGCACGGCGCAACAGCUGCUUUCAUGAGCCACUGCGGCUGGAACUCGAUACUGGAAAGCCUAAGUCACGGGAAACCAAUCCUCGGAUGGCCGAUGCACUCUGAUCAGCCGUGGAACGCGCAGUACGUGUGCAACCAUCUCCGGGAGGGCAUCAUCGUUCGGCCGUGGGAGAAGAACCGGGAGACGCUGCCCGCCACGGCCAUCCAAGAGGUCAUCAAGAGGGCAAUGGGGUCCAACUCCGACCAAGGAAUCGCUAUGGGCAACACGGCCAAGGCGCUUGCCGAAGACGCACGUGCAGCCGUUUCCAAGGGCGGCUCGUCGUGGCAGGAUAUGCAGGAGUUCAUUGUUCACGUCACAAGGUGA
rnacentral:rRNA from 1 species